GCAUGCAUCCCUCCUUGAGAUGGGGCACUGGCCAGGCCUGAGCUUUCAGUGAGGGGAGCAACAGGCUGGCUGGUGACAAGGGGCAAAUGUUUAAAGCAAAGAGAGGGGGAAAAGAGAAAAAAGUACCAACAACAAAUUAAUGACAGCAGCCGACCAACACGAAGUGAGUGUGAAAGAGUCAUAAGAACAAGAGAAGAGGACGAGCCUGAGAGUGAAGCUCUGCUUCUGUUGCUGCUGCUGCUGCUGCUGCUGCUGCAGGUGGAGGGCCUGUCACCUUUGAGGACACGCUGAGGUUGAAAAUUAAGACAGAGACCAAGAGGACAGCCAUGUUUUCAACCAGACCAGAGAUCCAGCCCUGUCUCUGAAAAACCUGCUUCAAUAGGAGAACACAGCCAAUGCAAACAACAGGAUCACCAGUCAUCUGGGGGACAUUAAAAAUGUAGCUGCUUCAGAAAAAAAAUUUCACAAUGCUUCUGUAUUUUGCAAAUACUGUUUGCAAUAAAACCUGCAUCACUUUUUAAUACUGUGAUUUUCAUCCUGAUACUGGAUGGUACUGAAGCAUGACUAGCACA
ensembl:lncRNA